CGGUAGGGUGCGAGCGUUAAUCGGAAUUACUGGGCGUAAAGCGUGCGCAGGCGGUUUUGUAAGACAGGCGUGAAAUCCCCGGGCUCAACCUGGGAACUGCGCUUGUGACUGCAAGGCUAGAGUACGGCAGAGGGGGGUGGAAUUCCACGUGUAGCAGUGAAAUGCGUAGAGAUGUGGAGGAACACCAAUGGCGAAGGCAGCCCCCUGGGUCGAUACUGACGCUCAUGCACGAAAGCGUGGGUAGCAAACAGGAUUAGAUACCCUGGUAGUCCACGCCCUAAACGAUGUCAACUAGGUGUUGGGUGGGUAAAACCAUUUAGUACCGGAGCUAACGCGUGAAGUUGACCGCCUGGGGAGUACGGCCGCAAGGUUA
rnacentral:rRNA from 1 species